AACGAACGCUGGCGGCGCGUCUUAAACAUGCAAGUCGAACGGCAGGAAGGGGCUUGCCCCUUCUGAGAGUGGCGGACUGGUGAGUAACACGUGGGUGACAUACCUUUUAGUUGGGGAUAGCUAUUAGAAAUAGUAGGUAAUACCGAAUGUGACCGUACCUGUUAGAGGGGUACGAGGAAAGGAGCUAAGGCUUCGCUAAAAGAAUGGCUCGCGGCCCAUUAUGCUCGUUGGUGAGGUAACGGCCCACCAAGGCGAGGAUGGGUAUCCGGCCUGAGAGGGUGAACGGACACAUUGGGACUGAGAUACGGCCCAGACUUCUACGGGAGGCAGCAGUUAAGAAUAUUCCGCAAUGGACGAAAGUCUGACGGAGCGACGCCGCGUGGAUGAAGAAUGCCGAAAGGUUGUAAAAUCCUUUUAAGCCUGAUGAAUAAGCACAGUAGGGAAUGAUUGUGCGGUGACCGUAGGGCUUGAAUAAGCACCGGCUAAUUACGUG
rnacentral:rRNA from 1 species